rnacentral:rRNA from 1 species
UACAGAGGGUGCGAGCGUUGUUCGGAAUUACUGGGCGUAAAGCGCGCGCAGGCGGCCCUUUAAGUCCGUCGGUCAAAUGCCGGGGCUCAACCCCGAGCGUGCCGAGGAUACUGGAGGGCUGGAGACACGUAGAGGCAAGCGGAAUUCCGGGUGUAGCGGUGGAAUGCGUAGAGAUCCGGAAGAACACCGGAGGCGAAGGCGGCUUGCUGGGCGUGGUCUGACGCUGAGGCGCGAAAGCGUGGGGAGCGAACAGG